AGCUCCAAUAGCGUAUAUUAAAGUUGUUGCAGUUAAAACGCUCGUAGUUGAAUUUCUGCAAACAUCAAAUCACUUCGAUCCCAUUAUUGAGAUUGUUAAGUUGAUAUGAUAUUUGCAUCCUCAUGUUGGUUGAAAUGUGUAGCUAAUUGAUUUUAGCGUCACGUUUUAGUUGACGUGUCUUUUACUUUGAGAAAAUUAGAGUGUUUCAAGCAGGCUAUCUUGCCUUGAAUACUGCAGCAUGGAAUAAUAAGAUAGGACUUUAGUUCUAUAUUGUUGGUUCAAGAACUGAAGUAAUGAUUAAUAGGGACAGUUGGGGGCAUUCGUACUUACCUGUCAGAGGUGAAAUUCUAUGAUUAGGUGGGGACGCACUACUGCGAAAGCAUUUGCCAAAGAUGUUCUC
rnacentral:rRNA from 1 species